CUUGUUGGAGCAGAGCUGGGAUUUCAGGUCACUGAUUUCCAGGUUGAGUGUCUCCUGCUCCUGCCUAUUUUUAACAGCCUGCUCUUCGAGCUGAUUUUGAGCUGCUAGGAGCUGUUUCUGGAGCAUCUCAAUCUGCUCUUGUUGAUUCCUACAUUGGACCUCAAAUUCAGCCUCCUUAGAGGACAUCAGUCCUACAGAGUCUGUGUGUGAAGCCUCUGUGGUUGGAGUGGCAGACUCCACACACUGCUCUGUGGUAGGGUGGCUGAUUUGGUCCUGCAGGGCAACCAUCACCUCAUCCAGUUUGACAAUAGCUUCACUGUCAUUUGUGAGAGCCUCUGUCUCACUGUUGUUAUUGGGCUUUGUCCCGAUUCGUGAUUGAGGUGUGAGACAAACGACCACUGGUCCAAGUGCGUCAAAACAAUGAUUUUAUUAAACAUGUGUGGGAAGAUACACAGCUCAAUAUUGUCAACACAGAUCUUCGUCACAGCAUAAAUUCAAAAUGGUUUUAUUAUGUCAGGGUUCACGCCCCUUCUCGCGUCAGAAAGAAUAUCACAUGCAUAGUUACAAUUAAUGACAGUUAAACAAGUUUCCGUGUUCAACAACAUUCUGCCCUAUGACUUCUCCAGAUGUUUCCUGUAGACUUAUUCAUGGCAUGCUUAUCUUUAACACCUUCUGCAUCUCUAGUUGCUAAGCAGAGACAAAGCAAGAUGUGUUUCACCUUUACCCUAGAAAUUUUACUUAAUGUCUGUGUGUAUGUAAGCAUUUGUGCAUUCAUUCACAGCACUCCAAGUCAUUCCCACAAUAUAUCAGUUCAGACAUCAUGCUGAACGAAGCUUAUGACCUUCACAAGAGUGAGUGCUUAACUCUCUCAUGAGCACAUAUGCAAUGUGUGUAAUGACAUGAUUAAAACUGUAUGUUUAAUAAAUGGAAUAAAUCUUUUCAUCAACUGCCACUGCUCAAAGCUUAAUAAAAAGGAUAUAAAAGAAUAAACAUGAUAUAAAAAUGAUAUAAUUCCCACAGCUUAUUACUAGAAGCCUCCUCAGCUGCUCUAUGAGGUCUUUAAUUCCUUGUGAUUUCGUCUGUUGUCAUGCAUCUUUGAACAAAGUUUGAUCAGCUGAAAAUUUUAAUAAGAGGCCCUCUUGUUAGCAGCUACCAUUUUCCAAAAAGGUUCUAAACGUUAACAUACCCUUCCAGUUCAAUAUCUUUGUGUUGGGAAACACUGAUUUUCAUUUAAAUAGAAAUGUAUAUUUCAAGAAGUAUCUGUUUGGUUUCCUGAUAUCAGCUGGGAGGAAAGAUUCUGCCAGACACUAGUUUCAACCAGAUCCCGCAACACAAAAGAAGAAUGGACAGAGGUUGUUGAUGGUAAAUAUCUAAUGGAAAGAAUCGCACACUCACACCGAUUACAGAAGUUUGUGUCAGUCCAUAGUUUGACAAAGGACACAAACACUGGGCGACCGUGGCUCAGGGGGCUGGGAAGCGCAUCUGUAACCGGAAGGUUGCUGGUUCGAUCCCUGGGCUCUCUGUCCUGGUCGUUGUGCCCUUGGGCAAGACGCUUCACCUACCGCCUACUGGUGAUGGCCAGAGGGGCGGAUGGUGCGAUAUGGCAGCCUUGCUUCUGUCAGUCUGCCCCAGGGCAGCUGUGGCUACAACUGUAGCCUCCACCAGUGUGUGAAUUAUUAUUAUGUUAGUGUAACUAUUUAAAUUUUUUGGUACUAAUUGAGGUGUGGCAAAUGCUUCUAUAGUAUAUUGCUAACUAUAACUUCCACAUCCCUUGUUCCUGUCAAAUAGUUCUGAAUUGUUUGUAAAAAUUUAAAAUGAAAAUAAAAAUAAGGACAUGGGGGGAAAAAGAAGAAGAAGUACCUUGUAAAACUGGUUUAUGAAUAUGCAAUAUCCCCAUUGUCCAAUAAAUGAAGAAUUUCAAAAAAAAAUAAGCAUCAACAAAACUGAGAGCAAGAUUAUAGCUCCUCCUGAACUAUGUCCUAAAAUCAGUCAGGCUCUUGCUUCUCUUUGUUCAACUAAUAAGUCCAGCAUUCGAAAUGAGGAGGAGACUGCUGUGAUUUGGCACUAUAUAAAUAACAUUUGAUCGAACUGAAUGUACCUUUGGAUGUCAUAUGCAGCCUAUUCCAUUCAUAGGCUUCCACGGAGCACUAUGUAGUCCUUAUAUACAGUGGUGUGGUCUCUUGUUUAAUUAAAGAAAAAGGCCUAGCCAAUCAAUCCAAACCACACAGCAACCAUUUCAGCAUCUUCAUGAUUGCAUUGCAUUUGUCCCACACCAGGGACGCCUCACACUUAGGCCUCAGGGUGACAUUACUUACAGCCAUACCAGCUGAGAAUACCAGGUGCUGUAAGCUUGGAGCAGCUGUAGCUCAGGAGGUAGUGCAGGUCAAGCACUAAUCGGAAGUCUGGUAGUUUAACCCCUGACUGCUCCUGUCUGCAUGCCAAAUAUCCUUGGACAACAUACUAACCCCAAGUCUGAUGCAUCCAUUAGAGUAUAAAAAUUAGACAGAAAGCUUAAGCAUAGAAAAAAAAGUGAAUGAAUCCUUCUGUAUAAAAUGCUUUGAGUGCUCAGGUAGAGUAGAAAAGUGCUGUGUGUGUGUGUGUGUGUGUGUGUGUGUGUGUGUGUGUGUGUGUGUGUGUGUGUGUGUGUGUGUGUGUGUGUGUGUGUGUAAUGUAUCGAACUUUCUACUUUAUGUUACGCUGUCUCAGCUGGAAAAAGAAAUCCUUGACUUUUACCAGUAUAAUUAGUUAAGCAACAUAAAUUUCAUUUAAAUGACAUGUACAAAAUAAAUUCCAGUAAUUUGAAAACUUCAGAUCAGUAUUUACAUUUAAACACCCAUUUAAUGUUUUGACACACAGUGUACAUAUGUAUAUCAAGCCGACCAGCUUUUCAAGUGGCAACACCCGGGCUGUCUGUUCCCAGACUGCAAAGGUUUUCUGUUUUUUUUACAUUUACAGUGGCCACACAAAUCUUCAUUCUCAUACACACGCUACAACAGUGAUCUUACUGAUUUUUGCACAUCAACAGCUUUGAUGCUAAUAAAGUACUUUCUUACUGCUGAACAGUGCAUCCGCCCUUUGUCAUGGCCUUGUGAGCCAGGUUGUGACAAUAUAACACAAAUGACAUACACAGACCACAUUAUAAUGGUAGUUCAAUUAAACUAAGUAGCAGCAGUGAUACAAGCUGGGAUUGCAUUGUUGUAUAAGUUUAGGAAACUAAUAAAGUAACCACUGUUUAAAACACAUUGGUAUCAAAGACAAAUAAGCAGAAAAAAACAUGCAAGGAAAAAAAAAGUCAGUAUCAAAACUUUAUGACUGAUCAUGGAUUUCAUUCUGGUGUAUUUGUUAAAAAUGCUUGCAUGUUUAUAGUGAAUGUAUCACUUGAUUUGAAUGUUGUGAUUUGGCACUAUAUAAAAAAAAUUAACCUGAAUGAUUUCUUUUUUCUGUCUUUAGAGGGCUAUAUUUGAGUACAGUGGUCCCUCGCUAUAACACGGUUCACCUUUUGCGGUCUUGCUGUUUUGCUGAUUUUUUUUGUGCAAUUUUGCAUGCUUGUUUUUUUUUUUGUUGUUGUUGUUGUUGUUGUUGUUUUUACAGCGCAUUGUGUUAUGCGUUCUGAUUGGCUGUAGACCAUUGUCAAUCAAUCUCGUGCCGUGUACAGUACAGUUCAGCUUGUAAUUUAUCGAAAUCUUCUAUCGCUAGCAGUGUGACUCUCAAGUGCUGUACUGUAUGUUUGUAAGUUUUCUCCAACAAACACAAAAAUGUCGAUGAAACAUUUUGCACCGUCAAAGGCAUCUGCGGGUGCCUCAUUCUGUAAUACUGGACUUAUUUUUCUACAAAUGUUUGAACCUUUAGAGUGUUUAAACAAGAGAGAAAAGUGUGAAAAAGUUCAUGCCUGUUCGAGAAAAGUGUAUAAAGUGUGUAGUGAGGGGUUUUACAGCCAUAAAAUAUCUAUAAUAAUUGUAAAAAAGAAAGUUAGCUACUUCGCAGAUUUCACGUAUCGCCGGUAACUUUUAGAACGUAACUACCGCCAUAAACGAGGGACCAUCUUUCUUUAACCUUCUAAGACCCGAACUCUUCCAUGGCAUGCAUUUUUGAUUUCUCUUUGAUAUUUGGGCAUAUUGGGACCCGAUGAAUAUAAAAACAAAGAAUCACCAGAUUUAUUAUUUUUUUAACCUGAUUUUUGUUUCUCAGAAAAAUGAGAGCCACAUAUGAGGACAUUCGUUUUAAAUUUUGAUAAAACAGAGGCAGUAUAAUAUCCUUGUUAGUGGAUAUCAGGCCCUUGUAUGAUAUGAUAUGAUAUACCUUUAUUAGUCCCACAAGGGGAAAUUUCAUGUUAAGGCUGCCGACCUAUUGCACGCAAUGGCGGCACCAUCUUACCCUCCGACCAUACAUACAUUACACAAACAUCACAUGGGGAAGACAGGUCAGAGAGGUAUAACAUGGAAAAGCACAACAUGAGGAAAGAUAAGGAGAAAAAAAAUAACUCCCCCCAGACUGAGCUCCAACAGGGAGAUCAGUUUGAGAACAGAAAAAAACACCUCUGCACAUAGCACAUGAAAAAACUCUUAAUACACCAAAGAAACACAUGACAAGCAACAGGGAUGGGUAAAGGGUGAGAGACAGCCAAUUUAGACAUUACAUCCGGGCCUGCAGCCUAUGCGCUGGUCUCCAUGAUCCACCGUCAGCAUCGGAAGGGAAUAAGCGUCGAAGGCUUUUGGAGGGGGGAUGAGUGUAUAUCUGCAUGUAUAUAUAUGUCUGUGUGCGUGUGUGUGUGUCCAGAGUUCAGCUGAGACAGUGUCCUUCACCCUGCCAGCCUAAGUAAACAGUCUUCCAGCCAACCCAGGUGGCCUUGCAUAGAGUGGGAAGAACAGACUCAACACAGUCUAUUAUCAGGGUGUUGUUGUUCAGCUCCAGCCUUGAGACCACAGCUGGUGCCGAAGGUGUCUCCUUGUGAAGUGAUGGUGGUUUUUACUUUAGUGCGAACAACUCAUAUGAAUUUCAAAGCUGUUCUAACAGUCCGACACUGGUCUCUCAAUCUCCCGUUGGAGAGCCGUGAGCUUCUCCAUGAUGUUAACAAACUUACGCUCCGUGAUGUUGUCAUUCUUGUGCUCAAAGAGCCAAUUCUGAGAACUCACGACCGCAGUGCGCUUCCCAAGAUGUGAUCCAAUUUGCACUCAGAGGUGUUAUUCCGAGCGAGCCCCUCCAGAUGUAAUCAGUUUGCACUCAGAGAUCUUGUUUUGAGUAUUCACGGCAGCCGUGCGGUUCUCCAAGAUCUUAUCCGUGCUGCACUCAAUGAGCCCAUUUGAGAAACUCACGCCUCGUCCCAUCGUUUCAAUCCCAGCGGGCAGCCUUGUGGGGGUUUGAACAGCCGGUUCCGCUUCCUUAAUUCUUCGAUAAGCCAGGGCCAAGCCAGCUCCGAUCGGCAAGAACCCUGUUAUCAUGGUUCCGAAUAGGUAGAUAUCUUCAGCACUCAGGCUCACCCGAGCCCAGACUUCUCGUUGAGGAAAGGGUGUCAAUUGCAUUCAGGGACCAGUUGAUCAAAUCCAUAAUUCCUCUUUUAGGUUUUAGAGAACAGACUGUGAGAGAGUGUUCCAGGGAAAAGUAAUACAAAAAACACGAGACUAGACAAGGACAUAAGAGGCUAAGCAGGGAAGCUAACGGAGAGGAGGAGGAGGAGGAGGAGGAAAAAAGUGCGACCGCCUUCACCGAGAGCAAGAGAAGAAGAGCAAAAUUUAGUAUUUUGGUCUAGACAACCAAAAAUGUGAUGUCCACAUAUGUGGACGCCAGGUCCUAGGAGAUUAAUAAAUGUGUGUGCCAAUAAGUUACUUGGCCCGUAAGCUGUUCUUCCCAUUUUCCCAAAGCAUUGGUCUUUAGAUCAAAAUCAUCUUUUUGAGCUAUUAUUUCAUCCUCUUUAGUCUUUGAGAAUGUAAAAAUAACAUGGGAUUUUGUAUCUUCCCAUUCCAAAUUGGCAACAUAUUGAAGCAAUGACGUUGAUAAAGUUCCAUUCUCUGGCUUGCAUUUUUGAAAAGCUUCUUGGGUGCGGUUGUCAGAUUUUUCAAUUGCAGCCAAAAAAUCUUUGUCAGCCACCUCUGGGUCACAGUUGAGAUUGAAGAUGGGGCUCCCUUGGAUUGUGACAUCUCCAGACGGAAAGUCUUCAGCAGUGCCAUUUUUGAUACGGAGGAGAUGAAUCUCCAAGAAGGUCUCAAAAAAUUGUGACAAGUGCAUGUUCAGUAAAGUGACGUCCUCCUCUAAUGGUAAUGUGUGAUAUUCACCCAGUUUUUUAAUAGCUUGGAGAUCAGCUUUCAACUGAAGAAUGCACCUUGGUAAGAAAGAUAGAAAUAGCAAUCAUAUAAGAUCACAUAUUCUGCAACACUCAAUAAAUGUUAACAGUGAAGAUGCAAUCAGCAGAGGUAAUGAAAACAGACAAGUUAUUCAUUCAAAACAGCAGACAGUGAAUGCAGGGUGAAGACGAAUGUCAGGUGGGAUUUGUAAAGAAGGAUAGCAGCAAGAGUAAAAAGAAAGGUUAACAACAAGGUGUUCUACUGUGAUGUGUGGCUUGGAGACAGUGGCACUAACGCAAACAUAGUAGUUAUAGCUGGGAGGUGGCAGAGCUAACAGAUUUAAAAUGAGUGUACACUAUAUUGCCAAAAGUAUUUAGUAAUCCGCAAAUCAUUGAAUUCGGGUGUUCCAAUCACUUCCAUGGCCACAGCACCCAGGCAUUCAGACUGCUUCUACAAACAUUUGUGAAAGAAUGAGUUGUUCCCAGCUGUGCGUGGGUCCCUGCUCGACUGGACCACCACUGCAGCGGGCAGUCUGUCUCACUGAUGGUGGAUUCUGCACACGGGGCUUCCUCAUCUGAAUCUGUAGCACAUUUUCUAACCCCCUAUCUUCUACCACUGAUAGUGGUCUAUAGUCUAGAGCAAUCCAUUUUGCAAGAGAAUUUGUAAGUUUGUCCCAUGUUGACUUACUAAUUUUAGUCCUGAAGCCAGUCAUUUCAUCAAGUUUGGGCUGCCGACACCUUUUGUUGGUACUUGAACUGCUAGUGCUAACAGCUAGUGGCCGGUGCUCCACACACUUGUCCCAAACCUCUUUGAUCACUGCCAAUGUGUCUUGGCAACAGCCUGGUCUUGUAUGAUGGUUGUCAAAGCAAAUCAACCGUAGCAACAUGUAAGAUUUCUGGAGUGAAAUGGUGGUCUGAAAAAUAGUUCGACUAGAUUCUGACACAAUGUUAUCAUACGAUCAUUCAUCCUGACAGAAGAAGCACUAGAGUUGAUGGAUGUCUGUUGCAUGCCCACUCUACAAGGCCUUGGAGGUAGCUGAAGUAAUAGGUAAUAUGUAUGAUUUCUUUAUUCUACAGCCAAGAAAGUAAAUCCUCACAAAUGCUGUUGUCCUCCAUCCUUUUAUUAUAUGUAUCAGUAUGUGAUAUUUACCACAAAGUGUGCAACUGAAUUUGGGUUACCUUUGAUAAAUAAACAAACAAACAAUAUAUUAGGACACUUGCCAUAUGGAAAAGAUAUAUACAAAUCUUAUAAAGUUUGUAUCUGUCUUGUGUGAAACUUGUAUGAAAAGUAUACAAGAGUGAAAACAGAUAUAAGAUCCCUUGAAAAAUUAUAUAAAUGAAACUUGUAUGUUUUGGGUACUUACUGAAACAAUAUAUGAAAGUAAUGAGAAAGUGGCCACUUUCAUGAGUAAAUCAUAUAAGCUUUAUAUCAUUCACUAUAUGAAGUAGGCCAAAUGUUAUGCAAGUUUUUUCUAUUUCUUUUCCAUAUGUGUUGGAACCAUUACAUAUCAUAUCAUUAAAAGAUUCGGAGAAUAUGGAGACAACUCAGUACAAAGCACAAGGCUGAAAACCACUAUUUUAACAAUAAUCUUUGAAUAUUCAAGCAACACUGCUUAAAAAAAUGGUUUCUGUAUUGGAAACCAGUGGAAGGCCUCACACGACUUGUGGGAUUUUUGGGUUUUUUUAAAGAGCUGAUAAAGUAGCAACACUUUUUUAAAUGUGUUGCUAACAUGAAAUCAUUUUUAUAUAUUUUUCAGUUUUGAUGUGUUGUUUUCGUUCUAUCUUUUGGUAAACAUCGGCUUUCAAUGCAUAUCAUCGCAUUCUGGUUUUUGACACGAAGUACCCACUGUUCUGGAAGUGGUUUUGUACACAAAUAUUCAUUUUGAUACCUACCUUUCUGUCACCUCUCUCAUCCUGGAGGGGUUGUUAGCAAUGUGGGGUACCAGUCUCAAGUAUCUGCUGAUCGUGUAAACUUGUGGUGGGUAGUAUCCACUGAGAUCCUUGAGAAACAAACCAGAAAUGGGCCCCGACUCUGCCACUGGUUCUCCCCUGACCUGCUUGGCAAGAGUGUCAAACAACACGGCCAGAGACAAAGCCACUACUCCAACACCACCUAGAGUAACCUUGCCUUCCCUACCAAACGUUGUCCUCAGGCUCCUGGUGAAGUCCUCCAGUUGCUCGGGGGUCAGGGAAGUCUGCACUGCUUUGUAGUGGUUCUUCAGGUAAAAGGAAGAGUUGAUGGACAGCAUUUGGCUGAAAAGAGGACUGGGGUUGUAGCUUGGAAAUGAGCAGAUGCCUCGAGCAAAGGAGGCCAGCUGGGAUGCGUCUGCAGGUGGACAGUGCAAGUUCCCCAUCCUGAUAUGAAUCUCAGAUAUUUGAGUAGGGAUCUCAACAAAACUGCUAAAGCUGCAAAACCUCACUCUGUCAGUGUCUGACAGACUGUCUCUGGGCAUCACCUAUAAAGACAUCAUCACCUUUAGUUAAUUAUUCACCUGCUUCCAAACGGUCAUGUUUCCUGGCUCAGAGAAAAUCCUCUUGCAUGAAAUUGAAGAGGCUGGAGUGCAUAGAAACUGCACUGCAAGUUGGUAGAGGUGCGGGUAUAUGGUCUUUAAAAGCCAUUAGUUGUCCUGGAGUGGAUCCUCUGUCCAGGGAAUUAAAGGAUGAAGAAUAAAGAAUAAACAAAUUAAAUGGCUGCACAUUUUGUAGAAUACCUUUUUUUUUUUUUUUUUUGCAGGGGGGGUUCUAACAAAGGGAUGGUUUACUUUUAGUGUGGCUUUACUGGAAGUAAAAUUUACUGGAAGUUCAACAUAGUGUAAAUCUCAGUGAUAGGAUGUGCAGUUCUUAGCUCACAUGUAGUUGAGCUUGCAUCCAUUAAGAUUGAACCACAGCAGCAAAACUACAAAAAAAAAAAAAAUCAAAAUUUCAGCGUGUUACUUCAUUAUGUAUACUAUUUAUAUACAAAAAGUAAAACUUGUUGUCAAUAGUGAGGUGUACAAAAUAACAAUUUAUCUAUGAUAAUUUCUUUCUACUAUCAGAUAAUGACCCAAAGCAAAGCAACUGGAUGCAGAAAGGCUUAGCAGUAAGGACACAAAGCGUGUAGUGAUGCCCUCGGGUUCUAGACUUCAGGCGGUCAUUAACUGCAAAGGAUUUCCAUCAAAGUAUUUAAAAGAAUCCUAAUAUUUACAGUCAUAUUAGUUUGUUCAAUUACUUUUCAGCAGCUCAAAAUGUGGGGCUGUGUUUAAAAAUGGCUCAACUACUGAAACAGUCAAUGCAAUACUUUUGCCAAAUCCCUCAAAGUAAAGCUGAAAAUCUGCACUUCAAUCACAUGUUGAUUAUUUGAUUUAAAACCCACAACAGUAACUGGUGUAGAGGCAAAAUUACAAAAAAUGUAUCAUCCAAAAUCUUGUAAAUUCAGGUUGUAUCAAUGUUCUCUCGUUCUCUGAAUCUUUGAUAUAGGGCC
ensembl:lncRNA